rnacentral:rRNA from 1 species
AUGCAAGUCGAACGAGACCUUCGGGUCUAGUGGCGCACGGGUGCGUAACGCGUGGGAAUCUGCCCUUAGGUACGGAAUAACUCAGAGAAAUUUGUGCUAAUACCGUAUGAUGUCGAAAGACCAAAGAUUUAUCGCCUAAGGAUGAGCCCGCGUAAGAUUAGCUUGUUGGUGAGGUAAAAGCUCACCAAGGCGACGAUCUUUAGCUGGUCUGAGAGGAUGAUCAGCCACACUGGGACUGAGACACGGCCCAGACUCCUACGGGAGGCAGCAGUGGGGAAUAUUGGACAAUGGGCGAAAGCCUGAUCCAGCAAUGCCGCGUGAGUGAUGAAGGCCUUAGGGUUGUAAAGCUCUUUUACCAGGGAUGAUAAUGACAGUACCUGGAGAAUAAGCUCCGGCUAACUCCGUGCCAGCAGCCGCGGUAAUACGGAGGGAGCUAGCGUUGUUCGGAAUUACUGGGCGUAAAGAGUACGUAGGCGGUGAUUCAAGUCAGAGGUGAAAGCCUGGAGCUCAACUCCAGAACUGCCUUUGAAACUAGAUCGCUAGAAUUGUGGAGAGGUUAGUGGAAUUCCGAGUGUAGAGGUGAAAUUCGUAGAUAUUCGGAAGAACACCAGUGGCGAAGGCGACUAACUGGACACAUAUUGACGCUGAGGUACGAAAGCGUGGGGAGCAAACAGGAUUAGAUACCCUGGUAGUCCACGCCGUAAACGAUGAUAACUAGCUGUUCGGGGUCUACGAUCCUGAGUGGCGCAGCUAACGCAUUAAGUUAUCCGCCUGGGGAGUACGGUCGCAAGAUUAAAACUCAAAGGAAUUGACGGGGGCCUGCACAAGCGGUGGAGCAUGUGGCUUAAUUCGAAGCAACGCGCAGAACCUUACCAGCGUUUGACAUCCUAAUCGCGGUUUUCAGAGAUGAUUACCUU